UAGGGAAUCUUGCGCAAUGGGCGAAAGCCUGACGCAGCGACGCCGCGUGAGUGAUGAAGGCCUUCGGGUUGUAAAGCUCUGUGGGGAGAGAAGAAUAAGUGCUGGUUAACACCUUGCAUGAUGACGGUAUCUCCUUAGCAAGCGCCGGCUAACUCUGUGCCAGCAGCCGCGGUAAGACAGAGGGUGCAAACGUUGUUCGGAAUCACUGGGCGUAAAGCGCGUGUAGGCGGCUUCUCAAGUCGGGUGUGAAAUCCCAGGGCUCAACCCUGGAAGUGCAUUCGAAACUGGGUAGCUAGAGUACUGGAGAGGAAGGUGGAAUGCUUGGUGUAGAGGUGAAAUUCGUAGAUAUCAAGCGGAACACCGGUGGCGAAGGCGGCCUUCUGGACAGAUACUGACGCUGAGACGCGAAAGCGUGGGGAGCAAA
rnacentral:rRNA from 1 species